AACGAACGCUGGCGGCAUGCCUAACACAUGCCAGUCGAACGAGACCUUCGGGUCUAGUGGCGCACGGGUGCGUAACGCGUGGGAACCUGCCCUUAGGUUCGGAAUAACUCCCCGAAAGGGGUGCUAAUACCGGAUAAUGUCUUCGGACCAAAGAUUUAUCGCCUUUGGAUGGGCCCGCGUUGGAUUAGCUAGUUGGUAGGGUAAAAGCCUACCAAGGCGACGAUCCAUAGCUGGUCUGAGAGGAUGAUCAGCCACACUGGGACUGAGACACGGCCCAGACUCCUACGGGAGGCAGCAGUGGGGAAGAUUGGACAAUGGGCGAAAGCCUGAUCCAGCAAUGCCGCGUGAGUGAUGAAGGCCUUAGGGUUGUAAAGCUCUUUUACCCGGGAUGAUAAUGACAGUACCGGGAGAAUAAGCUCCGGCUAACUCCGU
rnacentral:rRNA from 1 species